rnacentral:rRNA from 1 species
ACGGGUGCGUAACGCGUGGGAAUCUGCCCCUUGGUUCGGAAUAACAGUUGGAAACGACUGCUAAUACCGGAUGAUGACGUAAGUCCAAAGAUUUAUCGCCGAGGGAUGAGCCCGCGUAGGAUUAGGUAGUUGGUGUGGUAAAGGCGCACCAAGCCGACGAUCCUUAGCUGGUCUGAGAGGAUGAUCAGCCACACUGGGACUGAGACACGGCCCAGACUCCUACGGGAGGCAGCAGUGGGGAAUAUUGGACAAUGGGCGAAAGCCUGAUCCAGCAAUGCCGCGUGAGUGAUGAAGGCCUUAGGGUUGUAAAGCUCUUUUACCCGGGAUGAUAAUGACAGUACCGGGAGAAUAAGCUCCGGCUAACUCCGUGCCAGCAGCCGCGGUAAUACGGAGGGAGCUAGCGUUAUUCGGAAUUACUGGGCGUAAAGCGCACGUAGGCGGCUUUGUAAGUAAGAGGUGAAAGCCCAGAGCUCAACUCUGGAAUUGCCUUUUAGACUGCAUCGCUUGAACCAUGGAGAGGUCAGUGGAAUUCCGAGUGUAGAGGUGAAAUUCGUAGA